GGGAAUGCAGCUUAAUGGCAGAGUGCUUGCCUAGCAUGCAAGAAGCCCUGGGUUCGAUUUCUCAGUACCA
rnacentral:tRNA from 1 species